CAACAUCAUGAAAACCCCGCACUCUGCUUCGGUGGGUCAGCUAGAAACAAAAAAAUGACACCCGCCAACAACUUCAGUGUGAAGCAAUCGGCCUUCUCAGCUCCGUGACGAACUUUUUGGCAUCAAGACGGAUCUCAAUGAUGUUGUUCAGUAGAGCAAAAAGAGGAGCCAGCGGAAAGGAGGCCACAAACAAGGUUAUUCUGGAUGAGCUGUUUGCCAAGCAUGGUGAUGCAGAGCUGAAUGCACAAUUCCAUCAGACAGCCAGCAUGGGCGCACUGCAGGGUGAAACAGAGAGAGAUUUCAAUCAGUUACAAUGGAGUUGACUGGCUACACACCUCUGAGAGUGUUAGUCAUCAGGACUGAGGCCUGUUUGCGCAAAAUCCCCACUAACCCCUGAACAUCUGAUGUUCUACGUGAAGCCAAACUUGAGGGAGAAAAUGGCACCAAUCGAAGUUCCUGUUGAAAUGAGGAGCAGAAAUUGGAGACCUUGCUCAGUCACUGAAGCCCUGUGGCUGGCAAAAGCUGCCUCUAGAUUAGUUUUCCUCACUCUGCUGGAUCUGUCUGCAAGUGAAAAAUCACCAGAUCCUUCUCUGAAGUGAGCAGCAUCUAAAUCACAUCAACUGUCCAUGGGGGUUCCCCAAGGCUCCGUAAUUUUCCCCUUACUCUUUUCAGAAUACACAACAAUCAUUGGGACCGAUUAACCAGAUACAUGGAUUUGAAAAUAAAGCAUGGUGGCAUUAAGACCACCCAUGCUUUACCAAAAACACAAAUUCUCAAUUUCUAUUAUAUUAGCAACACAUGGACAUCAAAAUCUCUGAUGUUCUUUACGUGAGAACCAUCUGUAGAGAGUUACAAUGUCUAUACAUUGUUCCAAAUCAGUCAUUUCUUUUUCGGUUAGGAUAUAGCCAAGUAAAUAGUUGACAACAGGGCAGCUCACUAGGUUUGGAAAAAAAGGGAAAUCCUAUUGCAGAUUUGUUAAUAACCGAGUAUUUGUGUUCAAUUUCAGAGUGAAUGCUUGGUAAUAAUAA